rnacentral:rRNA from 1 species
CAGCAGCCGCGGGAAUACGAAGGGUGCAAGCGUUAAUCGGAAUUACUGGGCGUAAAGCGUGCGUAGGCGGUGAGUUAAGUCUGCUGUGAAAUCCCCGGGCUCAACCUGGGAAUGGCAGUGGAUACUGGCUCGCUAGAGUGUGUCAGAGGAUGGUGGAAUUCCCGGUGUAGCGGUGAAAUGCGUAGAGAUCGGGAGGAACAUCAGUGGCGAAGGCGGCCAUCUGGGACAACACUGACGCUGAGGCACGAAAGCGUGGGGAGCAAACAGGAUUAGAUACCCGGGUAGUCCCUGUCUCUUAUAC